AUUCCGGAAAGGAGGUGGUUCGGCAGAUGUACGCAUACCGGACGGAAGAGGUGGCUGCGGGCCAGUAGCCCGUCGCCGUACUCGGUUCGGCGCCGGACCAGCGUGUGUGAGGCACGCGACCGGCCCAAUCCAACGCAGUCGCCCGACCCGCGAGUCGCCGGUACGUCCGGCCGGCCCCUCCUCCGGAGGGCCGGGCUCGCGGGUCGUCUGCG
rnacentral:sRNA from 1 species